GACGAACGCUGGCGGCGUGCUUAACACAUGCAAGUCGAACGGUGAAAGCGGAGCUUGCUCCGCUGGAUCAGUGGCGAACGGGUGAGUAACACGUGGGCAACCUGCCCCUCACUUCGGGAUAACUCCGGGAAACCGGGGCUAAUACCGGAUAUGACCUCCUUGGGCAUCCUGUGCGGUGGAACGCUUUUCGGUGAGGGAUGGGCCCGCGGCCUAUCAGCUGGUUGGUGAGGUAGUGGCUCACCAAGGCGACGACGGGUAGCCGGCCUGAGAGGGCGACCGGCCACACUGGGACUGAGACACGGCCCAGACUCCUACGGGAGGCAGCAGUGGGGAAUAUUGCGAAAUGGGCGAAAGCCUGACGCAGCAACGCCGCGUGCGGGAUGACGGCCUUCGGGUUGUAAACCGCUUUCAGCAGGGAAGAAGCGAAAGUGACGGUACCUGCAGAAAAAGCACCGGCUAACUACGUGCCAGCCGCCGCAGUAA
rnacentral:rRNA from 1 species